UACGUAGGUUGCAAGCGUUGUCCGGAAUUAUUGGGCGUAAAGAGCGCGUAGGCGGUCCGAUAAGUCGGCUGUGAAAGUCAGGGGCUCAACCCUUGAAAGCCGGCCGAUACUGUCGGACUAGAGUCCGGAAGAGGCAAGUGGAAUUCCCGGUGUAGCGGUGAAAUGCGCAGAUAUCGGGAGGAACACCAAUGGCGAAGGCAGCUUCUUGGCUCAUUCCUGACGUUGAGGCACGAAAGCGUGGGGAGCAAACAGG
rnacentral:rRNA from 1 species